rnacentral:rRNA from 1 species
GACGAACGCUGGCGGCGUGCCUAAUACAUGCAAGUCGAACGCUGAAGGAGGAGCUUGCUUCUCUGGAUGAGUUGCGAACGGGUGAGUAACGCGUAGGUAACCUGCCUGGUAGCGGGGGAUAACUAUUGGAAACGAUAGCUAAUACCGCAUAAUAGUAGAUGUUGCAUGACAUUUGCUUAAAAGGUGCAAUUGCAUCACUACCAGAUGGACCUGCGUUGUAUUAGCUAGUUGGUGGGGUAACGGCUCACCAAGGCGACGAUACAUAGCCGACCUGAGAGGGGGGUCGGCCACACUGGGACUGAGACACGGCCCAGACUCCUACGGGAGGGAGCAGGAGGGAAGCUUCGGCAAUGGACGGAAGUCUGACCGAGCAACGCCGCGGGAGUGAAGAAGGGUUUCGGAUCGUAAAGAUCUGUUGUAAGAGAAGAACGAGUGUGGGAGUGGAAAGUGCACACUGUGACGGUAGCUUACCAGAAAGGGACGGCUAACUACGUG